GUUAUGUCACAGUGGCAGUUGAAGGCAGUAACCCCGCCCUUGCCAGUUAGCAGCUAAUUUGAAUACACCGAAAAAGAGCUAUAACGGGCGAACGGCGCAGCGGAUCCGGGCAAGAUGCAGAGACCGCCACCAAUAUCAUAAUUCAUGGCGUAUAUGUUACCAAUCAUUGAACCCAUACACCCGCAGGCUGCCUUUGUUUUCCUGUGAGCAUAAAGCCAGAAAUCAGAGAGGAAAUCUCCUGUUAUUUAUUUGUUUAUUACUGCUCAAGAUGAAAUGCAAUACAGCUUGUUAAUGAAAUUCCUUUCAGGAUGCUGGAGUCUCUUAUCAAGAUUAAGCAUGAUACUAGACCAAUAAAAUAAUAUGACAGAUUUGCCACAUUGUUUUGAUCCAUUGACAGGCUUACUCUGCAUAGGACAAUAAACAAGUUAUAUGAUCAACAGAUACAGAACAUGACUUACUGGACUAAACCACGGAGUGGAGUUCAAAGAUUUAGGAGGUCUUCGCCCUAAACCCCAGCAAGGACAUGUAGACUUUUCCACAAGAAAACACCAGUUCGCUUUCCCUGACAGAUGAAUGCACAGAAGACGCAAUUUGUAGAGCCAAGGCAGAUGAUGGACAGGCAAAGGUCUCUGCUCUUUGGUCCCCUACAGCGAACUACAGUAUCUUGAAGGGCCCAUAAACCUCCAGGACAUUAUAAUUAUGCUGGCAGGAGCUGAGUUCAUCUGAGGUUGCUGGUCCUAUAGUACAUAGUCCUCGCUAGCUUAUCUGCAGUUAUGCUUGGCUCCUGAACUGGUCGCUUGACAUUUCAAAGAUUCUAUGCCACUUUAGGGGCAUCUUUAUCCAGCAGAAGGAACUGAGGUUGACUUUAUGACUUUAUUCACCGACAAUAUGUUGUUGUUUUUGUCUGACCUGGUAACAUAUUUGCCUAAAUUGUGGUUGGAUGUGACCAAGCUACCUUGCCAGAAUAAGGAGUUUUUCUAAAUUGUUGUAUCCCCUCCAAGCGAUUCCAGUGCUUCUCAAAAAUAAAGAUA